UACGGAGGGUGCGAGCGUUGUCCGGAAUCAUUGGGCGUAAAGAGCGUGUAGGCGGCCAUACAGGUCAGCUGUGAAAACUCGAGGCUCAACCUCGAGACGUCGGUUGAAACCGUAUGGCUAGAGUCCGGAAGAGGAGAGUGGAAUUCCCGGUGUAGCGGUGAAAUGCGUAGAUAUCGGGAAGAACACCCGUGGCGAAGGCGGCUCUCUGGGACGGUACUGACACUGAGACGCGAAAGCGUGGGGAGCGAACAGG
rnacentral:rRNA from 1 species